rnacentral:rRNA from 1 species
UACGUAGGGCGCAAGCGUUGUCCGGAAUUAUUGGGCGUAAAGAGCUCGUAGGCGGCUUGUCACGUCGGUUGUGAAAGCCCGGGGCUUAACCCCGGGGUCUGCAGUCGAUACGGGGCAGGCUAGAGUGUGGUAGGGGAGACUGGAAUUCCUGGUGUAGCGGUGAAAUGCGCAGAUAUCAGGAAGAACACCCGUGGCUAAGGCGGUUCUCUAGUACGGUACUGACGCUGAGACGCGAAAGCGUGGGGAGCGAACAGG